AAAUGAAAUAAUUUAAUUAAGGAGAUAACAAACAAGAGUUCAACACCAGUACCAAGACAAUUUUCAACUUUGAUUAAUGAGUUUGUCCAUUGGCCAGCCUGCCAUGUGUCUAGAUUAACAGCAUUUUUGCAUACUACAAGUCAAUGCAACCAUAAAACAAACACGUGAAGAACAAUCCACAAUCAUUUUCAAGAAAAGAAGAAAAUAGUGGCCAAGAACUCAAGAUUUGAAUCUUUGAUGUCACGCAUUACAGUACAAGAAUUUAAUCCUUAUGCUACUAACCCAAUGCAUAAUUUCAGAAAUUCUGUCAGGAUGAUACACAUGAUUACUCUACCCUGAAACUCUCAUCUGAAAGAAUUUUAUCAUUGAUCUUUGCCCUCAUGCAUUACGAGGAAGAUUGAGAAAGGGAAUGAAGUUAUCAACACUUUGAAUACUACCACUGAUUUACAAUGCCUCCCAGGAAGGAUUGCCUUGGCUGAUCCUGUCAAGUCCAGAUGCAUUGUGUGCAUCAAAGAAAUUAUAGGAAGGAAGCACCAGUUUUAUUUAACUAUAACACCUUCAUUUGCUUCAACAUCCAUUGUUUUACUCUACAAUCUUAAGAAUUACCAGAAGUUAUACAUUCACACAUUAAAGAGCAUAAAUUCGAUCAACUUCUGAAUUGGAGAAGUCAGAGUGUUGCCAUGAGUUGGAUCCACUUCUUCUUGCAGACUUCUCCCUCUUCCUCAUUGAGCGAAUCCUCUUGGACUUCACCACAUAAUAAGUCAUUGUGCCAAGAACCCCAGCCAUAAUCACUCCCCCUACAACUGUAACCAAAAUAGCAGCCCACUUGUGUUUCCGGCCAACUACUAUAUAAGAUGAGGCUAUAAAUGCAACUGAAGUGCACACAGAAGCCAACCACAUUAAUUUAUUAAUGACCUCCACUACCCGUCUCUCUGCUUUUGUCUCACCUCUAACCAGUGUAAUUUGAACAACCACAACAGCCAAUGAGGUAAAGAGAGCAAUAGCAUUAAAGAUGAAGAAAAUUUUGAAAGAUGCAGAGCUCACCACCACUGCCAUCCCACUAUCUUCAUCACCACCCGGUACAGUAAAUAUGGCCGCAAAGGCCACUGUUGCAAAUAGCACGGCCACCACUGUCACUGAGUUGGUAGCAUUGUUGAUCCCUUCCCGGUGUAGCUUCCUGAGCUCUUUAGAAAUAUUGUGAACAUUCUUGUUGGUUUUUCUGGUUUGUUCAAGCUGGGUGUGAACAUCUUUCUUAAUUUGAGUUACGGUUUUCCUCAACUCAUCCCUUGGUUGGUUGAGUUCAUUAGCUCUAAGAGCUCCAUAUUUAUAAAGACACUCUUUUAGUUCUGAUGAUUCUUCUGAGAGGGUAAGGCCUUCUGCGAUGUCAAGAGCUGUUUUAUGGUCUCUUGUCAGCGCAUUCACAUUUGUGUCAGGAAGUAAUAACAACUCAUUCACUAUCUCCACUCGUUUCUUCCUAGUUGCCACAUGCAAUGCUGUGUUACCAAAUUUGUCUGGAAGCAUCACAAUAGCAGCAUCUGCAUCGAGAAGCAAUUUAACUACCUCACAGCUCUGCCCUUUUACAGCCAUAUGCAAAGCAGUCUGCCCUUUCUUGUCAGUCCUUCGUGCCAACUGUGAAUCCUUGCUGAGCAAUGCUUUUACAACAUCUACAUGCCCCUGUCUGGCAGCUAAAUGCAAUGCAUUUUUGCCAUUGGAUCUAGAAACCUCCAAUAAGCUACCAUCCUUUGACAGCAAUUCAAUGACUACUGCAGUAUGCCCCCUUGUAGCUGCAGAUACAAGUGGGGUUGCAUUUGAUGGACCAUAUGUUUGACUCAGGCUUGGGUCAUGAUCUAGGAGCACUUGGACAAUGGCUGCAAUAAAAGAAUCAUCAUGAAUUACUUUGCUAAUUUGUAAUGAGAACUGUCAAUAAUAGGAACAUAACUUCUACAGCUGGUGUCAUUCAUAAAAAAUAUAAUAUACAUCUGGGCAGGCAUUCAAACUUUACUAUAAUUACAGUGAAACAAGUUCUGCAACCAAAUUGUUCCUAGUUGCUCUUUGAGAUGGAGUCGAAGAUGGAAAGAGAUUCUCAAAAUGGAAGAUUGCAAUCCUUAUCAUUUAAAAGAAAUCAUGGAGGUGCAAUGCAAGUACAGCAAUGCACUUGGAAAGCCACCUUAUAUGUUCAUUAUGUUUCAGAAUAAUACUUCUGUUUUCCGUGAGACUUAAAACUGAACCAAAGCCACUAUUUGCAAUAACCAUAACUCAUUACUUGUCGUAGCAUGACUAAUUGACCAUAGGUGAUUCCCCUUAAACAAUUUCUUGCGCAUGCUCAAAUUGUACUUCCUCAAGACAAUAGAAGACUAUAAAGCUCCCGCUGUUUUUCCCCCUUUUCCUCCCUUUUCUUCUUGUCACAAAGCUACCUUUUCUUAUUUGUUAAAUAAGUGUAUUUUAUGAAUCUACAAACUGCUUAUCGUAUGCUAUGGCAACACUGUCAUUUCUAGGUCCUCAGACAGAGAGAUCCAAUUUUUACUAUUGACAUAGGAAUCAUACAUCUAAUAUAAUGAUCUUCUGCUCUAAUUAAGCAUUAUCUCAUGGCAGACACAGCCUUCACACAGCUGCAAGAAAUGAAGUGGAAAACAGUAAAAAUUACUUGGCACUAUGAUUUCCACAGGUCAACUGUGCUUCACAGUCACUAAAUACAUCUGAUUCAAUUAAGUUCAAACUAGUUCAUGUAAGAACUAAAACUAAAGAUUCUUCUCAUUGAUUCACAAAAGUAUCUAAGCAAUACAUAAGGCAAAUUAUCCAUACCUCAUGUAACUUCUAGCAUAAUUUACAGUAUAAAUCACAGAUCAUACAAACGUUAGAUGCUUUGGUUAACAUGUUCCUCAAAAAUUGAUGUGCUACCUUAUUUGUGAAUUAACAACCAAAUCAAGAUCAACCACUUCAUAUAAAAAAAAUAUAUAAUUAAAAGAAAGGCUCAAGAACAUCACCAUGGUGGCCUUGCACAGCAGCGAUAUGCAAAGGAUCGAAGCCUGAUCUAUUCUUCCUUGCAAUGCACUCUCUACUUGAAUAUUUUAACAACUCCUUUACCACCUCAAGAUGCCCUUUAUCUGCAGCAGUAAACAGUGCUGUCUCCCCCAACUCAUUCACCUCAUUCACUACUGAUGCCCUUAUUUCAGCAACCUCUGUAUCAAAAUCCUCCCCACUCAAAGUCCCCACCAGUUGUGAAUCAAUAUCAUUAAGAAUCUGCUUUACAGCUGCCAAAUCACCAUGUUGAGCUGCCAAGUGCAGUUCAGUGUCAUUAUGGCGCCCAGUUACUUGUUUUACAUACUUCUUUUUUCCUGCUUGAUCAAUCCGUUUUCCAGAGUUGGAUAGAACUAGGGCCGGAGCCGAUGAAGUUGAGGAUGGCGAUGGUGUUGGAGAGGAUUCAGCAAGAGGGUUUUGGUUUAGAUGUGGAGGCAUUAGUCCCUUUUCUAAGUCCCUCUCUCCCCCCUCUUCAAUAGGAGAGGCCAUGAUUUCUUGAAAAUUUCUUGGUAGUGAAAGAAAUAAAGAGACCUAAGGGGUCAUCAAAUGGAAGAAAGCGAGAGAAAGUAAGAAGGUACAGAGAAGGAUCGUAAGGGCUCGAGUGGAGAUUGUUUGUUUCUUGGAAUUUUUGGCUUCCACAAUUAUUCUUUUACAAGUCCACUUUUCCACUUUAACGCUAGCGAUCAACUCCAUCACCACUCUCACUUUCAAUCCCCUGCUGCGCUCUUUCGUCGAGCUUUCUCAUUAUUAAUAUUUUUUUCAUAUAAUAUUAAAUUGACAU
rnacentral:misc_RNA from 1 species